AGAAAUAACAAUACAAGGCAGUUAAAAUGCUUUGUAAUUGGAAUGAUAGAAAUUUAAACCCUUUUUAAAGUAUCAAUUGGAGGGCAAGUCUGGUGCCAGCAGCCGCGGUAAUUCCAGCUCCAAUAGCGUAUAUUAAAAUUGUUGCAGUUAAAAAGCUCGUAGUUGAAGUUCUGCUAAAAGUAACCGGUCUGCUUUUAAUAAAAGUGGUAUCUUGGUGUGUAUUUAGCAAUGAUGUCCUUUGAAGUGUUUUUUACUUUAUUGUAAUAAAGCAUAUUCAGGACUUUUACUUUGAGAAAAUUAGAGUGUUUCUAGCAGGCCAACGCUUUGAAUACUGCAGCAUGGAAUAAUAAGAUAGGAUUUUAGUUCUACAUUAUUGGUUUUAAGAGCUAAAUUAAUGAUUGAUAGGGACAGUUGGGGGCAUUUGUAUUUAACUGUCAGAGGUGAAAUUCUUAGAUUUGUUAAAGACAAAC
rnacentral:rRNA from 1 species